rnacentral:rRNA from 1 species
GAGUUUGAUCGUGGCUCAGAACGAACGCUGGCGGCAGGCUUAACACAUGCAAGUCGAACGCCCCGCAAGGGGAGUGGCAGACGGGUGAGUAACGCGUGGGAAUCUACCCAGAUCUUCGGAACAACUGAGGGAAACUUCAGCUAAUACCGGAUACGCCCUACGGGGGAAAGAUUUAUCGGUUCUGGAUGAGCCCGCGUUGGAUUAGCUAGUUGGUGGGGUAAUGGCCUACCAAGGCGACGAUCCAUAGCUGGUCUGAGAGGAUGAUCAGCCACACUGGGACUGAGACACGGCCCAGACUCCUACGGGAGGCAGCAGUGGGGAAUAUUGGACAAUGGGCGAAAGCCUGAUCCAGCCAUGCCGCGUGAGUGAUGAAGGCCUUAGGGUUGUAAAGCUCUUUCAGUGGGGAAGAUAAUGACGGUACCCACAGAAGAAGACCCCGGCUAACUUCGUGCCAGCCGCCGCCGUAAG